rnacentral:rRNA from 1 species
CAAUAGCGUAUAUUAAAGUUGCUGUGGUUAAAAAGCUCGUAGUUGAACCUUGGGCCUGGCCGUCCGGUCCGCCUCACCGCGUGUACUGGCUCGGCCGGGCCUUUCCCUCUGUGGAACCCCAUGCCCUUCACUGGGCGUGGCGGGGAAACAGGACUUUUACUGUGAAAAAAUUAGAGUGCUCCAGGCAGGCCUAUGCUCGAAUACAUUAGCAUGGAAUAAUAGAAUAGGACGUGUGGUUCUAUUUUGUUGGUUUCUAGGACCGCCGUAAUGAUUAAUAGGGACAGUCGGGGGCAUCAGUAUUCAAUUGUCAGAGGUGAAAUUCUUGGAUUUAUUGAAGACUAACUACUGCGAAAGCAUUUGCCAAGGAUGUUUUCAUUAA